rnacentral:tRNA from 1 species
AUAGAGCCUUAGUAGUAUAACCAAUACACUGGUCUUG